rnacentral:rRNA from 1 species
AGUCGAACGGUAACAUUUCUAGCUUGCUAGAAGAUGACGAGUGGCGGACGGGUGAGUAAUGCUUGGGAACUUGCCUUUGCGAGGGGGAUAACAGUUGGAAACGACUGCUAAUACCGCAUAAUGUCUUCGGACCAAACGGGGCUUCGGCUCCGGCGCAAAGAGAGGCCCAAGUGAGAUUAGCUAGUUGGUAAGGUAACGGCUUACCAAGGCGACGAUCUCUAGCUGUUCUGAGAGGAAGAUCAGCCACACUGGGACUGAGACACGGCCCAGACUCCUACGGGAGGCAGCAGUGGGGAAUAUUGCACAAUGGGGGAAACCCUGAUGCAGCCAUGCCGCGUGUGUGAAGAAGGCCUUCGGGUUGUAAAGCACUUUCAGUUGUGAGGAAAAGUUAGUAGCUAAUACCUGCUAGCCGUGACGUUAACAACAGAAGAAGCACCGGCUAACUCCGUGCCAGCAGCCGCGGUAAUACGGAGGGUGCGAGCGUUAAUCGGAAUUACUGGGCGUAAAGCGCACGCAGGCGGUUUGUUAAGCUAGAUGUGAAAGCCCCGGGCUCAACCUGGGAUGGUCAUUUAGAACUGGCAGACUAGAGUCUUGGAGAGGGGAGUGGAAUUCCAGGUGUAGCGGUGAAAUGCGUAGAUAUCUGGAGGAACAUCAGUGGCGAAGGCGACUCCCUGGCCAAAGACUGACGCUCAUGUGCGAAAGUGUGGGUAGCGAACAGGAUUAGAUACCCUGGUAGUCCACACCGUAAACGCUGUCUACUAGCUGUGUGUGCCUUUAAGGCGUGCGUAGCGAAGCUAACGCGCUAAGUAGACCGCCUGGGGAGUACGGCCGCAAGGUUAAAACUCAAAUGAAUUGACGGGGGCCCGCACAAGCGGUGGAGCAUGUGGUUUAAUUCGAUGCAACGCGAAGACCUUACCUACACUUGACAUGCUGAGAAGUACUAGAGAUAGGUUCGUGCUUCGGGACUCAGACCAGGUGCU